GACGAACGCUGGCGGCGUGCUUAACACAUGCAAGUCGAACGCUGAAGCUUGGUGCUUGCACUGGGUGGAUGAGUGGCGAACGGGUGAGUAAUACGUGAGUAACCUGCCCUUGACUCUGGGAUAAGCCUGGGAAACUGGGUCUAAUACUGGAUACGACAUGUCACCGCAUGGUGGUGUGUGGUAUGGGUUUUACUGGUUUUGGAUGGGCUCACGGCCUUUCAGCUUGUUGGUGGGGUAAUGGCUCACCAAGGCGACCACGGGGAGCCGGCCCGGGGGGGUGACCCGGCACACUGGGGCUGGGGCCACGGCCAGGCUCCUACGGGAGGCAGCAGUGGGGAAUAUUGCACAAUGGGCGGAAGCCUGAUGCAGCGACGCCGCGUGAGGGAUGACGGCCUUCGGGUUGUAAACCUCUUUCAGCACGGAAGAAGCGAAAGUGACGGUACGUGCAGAAGAAGCGCCGGCUAACUACGUGCCAGCCGCCGCAGUAA
rnacentral:rRNA from 1 species